rnacentral:rRNA from 1 species
UGGGGAAUCUUGGACAAUGGGCGCAAGCCUGAUCCAGCCAUGCCGCGUGAGUGAUGAAGGCCCUAGGGUUGUAAAGCUCUUUCACCGGUGAAGAUAAUGACGGUAACCGGAGAAGAAGCCCCGGCUAACUUCGUGCCAGCAGCCGCGGUAAUACGAAGGGGGCUAGCGUUGUUCGGAUUUACGGGGCGUAAAGCGCACGUAGGCGGACUUUUAAGUCAGGGGUGAAAUCCCGGGGCUCAACCCCGGAACUGCCUUUGAUACUGGAAGUCUUGAGUAUGGUAGAGGUGAGUGGAAUUCCGAGUGUAGAGGUGAAAUUCGUAGAUAUUCGGAGGAACACCAGUGGCGAAGGCGGCUCACUGGACCAUUACUGACGCUGAGGUGCGAAAGCGUGGGGAGCAAACAGG